CACGUAGGGGGCGAGCGUUGUCCGGAUUUAUUGGGCGUAAAGAGCUCGUAGGCGGCUCAGUAAGUCAGGUGUGAAAACUCCAGGCUCAACCUGGAGACGCCACCUGAUACUGCUGUGGCUAGAGUCCGGUAGGGGAGCAUGGAAUUCCUGGUGUAGCGGUGAAAUGCGCAGAUAUCAGGAGGAACACCAGUGGCGAAGGCGGCUCACUGGCCCGGUACUGACGCUGAGGCGCGAAAGCGUGGGGAGCAAACAGG
rnacentral:rRNA from 1 species